CAGCCGCCACGGUAAUACGUAGGUGGCAAGCGUUGUCCGGAAUUAUUGGGCGUAAAGCGCGCGCAGGCGGCCUAUCCAGUCUGUCUUAAAAGUUCGGGGCUCAACCCCGUGAUGGGAUGGAAACUAGUAGGCUAGAGUAUCGGAGAGGAAAGCGGAAUUCCUAGUGUAGCGGUGAAAUGCGUAGAUAUUAGGAAGAACACCAGUGGCGAAGGCGGCUUUCUGGACGGAAACUGACGCUGAGGCGCGAAAGCCAGGGGAGCGAACGGGAUUAGAUACCCCCGUAGUCCCUGUCUCUUAUACC
rnacentral:rRNA from 1 species